rnacentral:rRNA from 1 species
AUUGAACGCUGGCGGCAUGAUUUACACAUGCAAGUCGAACGGUAACAGGCCGCAAGGUGCUGACGAGUGGCGAACGGGUGAGUAAUGCAUCGGAACGUGCCCAGUCGUGGGGGAUAACUACUCGAAAGAGUAGCUAAUACCGCAUACGAUCUAUGGAUGAAAGCGGGGGACCGUAAGGCCUCGCGCGAUUGGAGCGGCCGAUGUCAGAUUAGGUAGUUGGUGGGGUAAAGGCUCACCAAGCCAACGAUCUGUAGCUGGUCUGAGAGGACGACCAGCCACACUGGGACUGAGACACGGCCCAGACUCCUACGGGAGGCAGCAGUGGGGAAUUUUGGACAAAGGGCGCAAGCCUGAUCCAGCAAUGCCGCGUGCAGGAAGAAGGCCCUCGGGUUGUAAACUGCUUUUGUACGGAACGAAACGGCUCUGGUUAAUACCCAGGGCUAAUGACGGUACCGUAAGAAUAAGCACCGGCUAACUACGUG